UGACAAUUAUCGAUUUCAGACUAGGAUUUUGUUUCAUUGCUUGUUAUAUUUUAAACAUAUAAGCGCUACAUAACAUAAACUUUAAUAAUGCCACACUAAUAUUGCUUUAGGGAGGAAAACAUUUAAUAUUAUAAACUACAAACCAUAGACUGUAAAAAAAGACCCUACAAACCGACAUGUUCAACGUUUAAUACCAUACAGUCUGAUGAGGAAAUAGACCUUUAAAAUGUCAUUUUAAACGCAUAACGCAAAAUAUUGACAUUUUCUGACAAAGUUAAGAAUCGAUGAAUGAAGGUCUUACGGGUGUGGAACGGCAUGAGGGCUACUUCAUCAUAAAUUGCUCCAAUGGUCAGUACAUUUCAUUCAAUGUUUCUGACCACUGUUAAACCUCUUACUGUGUUAAUACAUCAGUCUUUUACUCUUGUCUGGAGACACGAGCACGCAUGAGUCGACAUGGGCUCUUUUUAUGUGACUCUGAACUCUGACUACAUGCUGAUUCACUGUUACAUUUAUCAUUCUCCAAAAUAAGUUAUAAUUCUCUUCACAUAAAGCAUGUUCAAAUAUCACCUGAGCUUCACCUCAGACUGGUAAAGUGUAUUUUGCCAGUUCUGAUAACCACAUGGAGGAGUAAUCCAGUGUAAGAAGGCACUGCAUGUGUGAUACGAGUGCGGGACCUUUGACUCCUGAAUCAGGGAGUGAUCCUCAGUGGCGCUUGGAGAAAGCCGGCGUUUCCUUUGGGUCCAGGACAAAAGCAGAUAGACAUCUGGGGUCCCGAGGCGGCGUGAGGCUGAUUGCUGUGAAAGCGGAGGUCAGGCUGCGUGGAAUGGGUUUAGCCUCACAGGUAGAGCAUCUGAGGAUCAGGGAUAGAGGAAGCAGCGCGUGCACCGAAAUCAAAGGAUCAGUGUACGGACACGAUAAUAUCAGAGGAUGUAAUGGCUGUGAGAAGUGGAUCAGAGGGGAGUGUGUGUUUGUGUGUGUGUGUGGAGGCCACAUGUAAACAGGCUAGUGGCUCAUGCAGCGGCGUUAACCAGCUGUGCAGCCGCUCGCAGUAGGAGAUGAAUUUGCAGAGGAUGUUUGGCUUUGAUAUGCAGGAGACGCAGCACUGAUCUGUGCAUCGCUGCAGUCGCACACGCCGAUUCUAAUGGCAGCGUUUUACCUCGACACACACCGGACACUCACAUCAGCCUCCCGCCGGCAGAACACAACACACUUUAAAACGUGCUUAUUUACCUGUUUUCUUAUCGUUUUUUGUUCACUUAUUUUUAUUUUUUUAUUUUUUAACCCAAAUGUUGGAUAAUUUUAUUAGGUUAUUUUUAUUAUUUUUACCCAAGUGCUGGGUCACUCUAAAAAUGCGGGGUUAUUUUCAUUUAUUUUAAUUUUUUUUUUUACCCAAAUGCUAGGUUCAGCUUGCUGGGUAAUUUUAUUGGGUUAUUUUUACCCAUGCGCUGGGUCACUCUGAAUAUGCUGGGUUAUUUUUAUUUAUUUUUUUUAACCAAAAGCUGGGUUUAGCCUGCUGGGUAAUUUUAUUGGGUUAUUUUUACCUAUGCGCUGGGUCACUCUUAAUAUGCUGGGUUAUUUUUUUUUUUACCCAAAAGCUGGGUUUAGUAUGCUGGGUAAUUUUAUUGAGUUAUUUUUCCCAUGCGCUGGGUCACUCUGAAUAUGCUGGGUUAUUUUUUUUUAUUUUUUUUUAACCAAAAGCUGGGUUUAGCCUGCUGGGUAAUUUUAUUGGGUUAUUUUUACCUAUGCGCUGGGUCACUCUGAAAUUGCUGGGUUAUUUUUUUUUUUUUUUUUUUACCCAAAAGCUGGGUUUAGCAUGCUGGGUAAUUUUAUUGGGUUGUUUUUAAUAUUUUUACCCAAGUGCUUGGUAGUUUUUCUGUAUCUCAGCUGCUGGGUCAUUUUAAUGUCUAUGAACCCCCUCACAUACCUACCCAGCGCUGGGUAAAUCUAACCCAAUGUUGGGUAGUCUGUACCAAACCGGUUAAAACUGGAACUUAACGGUCGUUUUGUUUUCUGUUUUGAGAGAAAACUUCCUGAGGAUAUAUUCCUGAAUGAAAUUAAGUACUAGCCUUCUACAAACACAACACACACCGGAUCGCCACUCGAAGCGAAUGACGCACCGGCGCCACCAUGACAGUUUCACGGCCGUCAAACGAAUGCGCGGCCUGGGCUGAAACACGACGCGACAUCGCUGUCAUAUGUAACAAAGUUGCUCCACUGACUAUAACACUGUUGAUCUAGUGUGCUAGCGCUGUGGUCGCACUAUGCGUUUGACGUUUGAAACUUAAAUGCCUGAAAGAUGAGAUGGCACAAGAUUCCCAUUGGCUGCUGUUUCUGCUCCUGUCAUGUCUUGGGUUGUUUUUAACCCAGCAAUUUUUAGAGUGUUAUUGUUUUAAAUUCAUGUUCCUUGUAAUCUUGAAUCAGAAUAUCUUCUCC